AGUGAAAUUGGGCUUUACUCCCAAGCUCAUCGACAAGGAAUAGACCAAUAUAAUUUAACUCAGAGAUUCCAAAAACCUGUCCUUUUGACUCUUCUUAAGCAUUUAAACAGCAUGAAACAUAAUAAGUAGAAGACAAACUUUUAGGGGAAAACCUGAUACUAUGCCUGGAAAGAACUCCACUCUCUUGCUGCCUCUGGGCUUGUGAAACCUACCAGUAGGAACUUCCUAAGGAAGUUGUUCUUUAUUUCCUCACGAUUCUUAUCCAGAAGCAGCCACAGGCAUUUAAUCCAGACUCUGUGGGUAGCUUUAUAUCCUUACAUUGCAACAAUUUGGAUAAGGAGCAAGAGGAUAAGGAGUAGGGCUGAGGGAAAGGUUAUUAGCAUUCCAUAAAUCCUUGGUAAGUAAAAUAGGAAGAGAUUAAGAUCAGUUUAAUUACGGAAGUGAAUAGGAAUGUCAGAUUUGUUAGAACUGCCAAAUUAUGAGGUCAUCUCUAAUUAUAAUCUCAUAACUCCUCAAAGCAGGGGCCCAGAUAAGGGAAAAGUCUUCAGUGCUUUUUUGCUAAGCCCUUUAAGUAGAUCCCAAGUGCACAGUAGGCUGAAAAGAUUUCCACCAACUCACCCUGUGUGCCCUUUGACUGGCAGCCCCAUCUCAUGGCACUAGCUAUCUGUUCCGCAUUUGGGGCCCACAUAGCCAUAAUUGCCAGAGGCUUACCUUCUCAGGGAUGGGCUGUGGCGGGGAAACGGGUUAGGUGGGUUAAGGAAAGAUUGCAAAGAUCCCCAAGAGCACCUGUGAUAGACAUAACCCUCUGGAUCACACCCCCCAUUGUUAGGAGAGUCUGUUUAAUAUCUAGUUCUUUUCACACCUCCAGUGACCCUAUCCUGUCAUUAAUGAGAAUGAGCACCUGGUAAACAAGAUGCCUUCUGAGGAGUUUGGUAGACCAAAAGCUUCAAAGAAAUAAAGCUACCUUUUAGAGUUUCUAAUACUUAAAUACCAAGUUUCUAAAAUUCUUCCCAAAACUAGAAGAGCAUUCUGCAGUAUAAAUUAACAACUCUGUUAACAGUUUUAAAAUUGUGAGCUACUGAUCUUAUUUAAAUUUUUACUUGGGAAAUUUAAAAUGAGAUGUGAAAAAUGUAAAAAAAAUGUGUAGCACAAAGUACAUAAUUUAAAAGUUUAAAAUCUGGUCACUGUCUAGAAUGGGUUUCUUUUAGGAUCUUAAAUAAUAUUCUUUAGCACCUAUCAGCAAGCCUGUGAUUUCUAUUUUGCAUAAUCAUCUCAGUAUUUUAAACUGGUUAUUUUGGUCUAGCCAGAGAAAAAUUCUAAAUCUCUCAGCCCAAUAAAAUAGCUCUUUAAAAGGUUUUUUUCCCCCCCCCUUAUAAAAAGGCUGAGCUGAUGGUCAAGAUAUAAAUUAUUUGACUUUUUACGUUUCUUGGCAUUAUUAAAUAAGGGGAUAUCUUGCUUCUAUGUGGUAUAUAAUAAUGUGUUCCUUUGGAUUUUUUUUAAUUAAACUUUUAAAACAUUUUUUAGAUAAUUGUAGAGUCACAUGCAAUUGU